GCAAAGACACGACUCUGCUUUCUAAAAUAGAAAGCAUUGUGGCAGAUCUAAUGAAAUGUGAGGCUUCGCCAGUUGUCGUUGCAGUUUCCCUCGUUGCAAUAGCAGCAGUUCUCUGUUUCGUCGGCAGUCUUUUUACCCGAGAGAGGGGGGCGACUCCAGAGGUGAAAAUUGUGCUGCCGAGCUAUUCAGGAGAAGGGAAGAUCACAGCAGAAACGGAUAUGAUGCUGAAGCAAGUUAUUGAAGAACUAAAAAAGGAAGUGGAAAGAAGGGUUCGAUCAGAAAUUCAAGCAAAGAAAGAUACAAGCGAAGCUACAGAAGUGGAAAGAAGGGUUCGAUCAGAAAUUCAAGCAAAGAAAGAUACAAGCGAAGCUACAGAAGUGGAAAGAAGGGUUCGAUCAGAAAUUCAAGCAAAGAAAGAUACAAGCGAAGCUACAGAAGUGGAAAGAAGGGUUCGAUCAGAAAUUCAAGCAAAGAAAGAUACAAGCGAAGCUACAGAAGUGGAAAGAAGGGUUCGAUCAGAAAUUCAAGCAAAGAAAAAUACAAGAAAAGCUACAAAAGGUUGUGUUGUGUCUAUAGUCAGGUUAUUUAUGAUAUGGCCAAUGAUUCUUUUUCUUUUUCUUUCAGGUUGCAAUUUUUUGAUGUUUAAUAGUUAGUUGAGGACAUUCCACCAUUUACAGACAUAUAGCCCUGUUAUUACAGAGAGAGUAAGAGAGAAAUCAGCAGUAAAUGAUCAGUAUGGAUAAGAGCCCUUCCUUUCUCAACAUCCUUUUUCCUUUUUUUUUUAAACAAAAUGUAUUCAGUAGAAUUUCCCAUAACUAUUUUAGAAUCCUAAAAAGGGAUGUAUUUAAACCCAUGUGUGCAUUAAUGUGUUGGGAGACAAUCCAGUAAGUUAUCUACAUUUAAGUUAUUAAGGUUCAAUUUAUUUGUUAAGUCCAAAAAUGUGGAAACCCAUUUUGACCAUAACUUAGUAAAUGUAUUAAUUUGUAGGCAAAAUGAAAAUCAAAUUCUUUACAUUGUGUAUACUUCAUUAACUAUCUCUGUCCAUUCCUCUAUUGUGGGAGAGUCAGGAAGCAACCAUUGCCAAGUAAUAGUUUUUUUAACCGGUUGAUGUAAGUACACCAAACAAGUAUUCAUUGAAGUGGGCUGAAUGAAAUUUCAUGCAUUUCUGUCUAGAAAUGUCUUAUUACUGGAUGUUCCCAAAUGAUAUGGCAGUGAUUGGCUUCAUGGCUCCCACAUAGUCUCCAGCACUUGGGAUCCUCUCCUGUUCAGUGUGCUUUCUGCUUUGGGCUAAAAAAAACAGACAUUUUUUUAGACACUUUCAUCUAAAUUCUCUCCAUGUGUGUGAAAGAUAGAUAGAUAGAUAGAUCCUUUAUUUAUCUCCUCGGG